GCAAACUUGGUCAUUUAGAGGAAGUAAAAGUCGUAACAAGGUCUCCGUUGGUGAACCAGCGGAGGGAUCAUUACAGAGUUGCAAAACUCCCAAACCACUGUGAACGCUACCUCUUCGUUGCUUCGGCGGGCGGCGCCUCGGCGCCCUCCCGGCCCCCCCGCGGGGCGCCCGCCGGAGGUUACCAAACUAUGUAUGAUUAUAUGGCCUCUCUGAGUCUUCUGUACUGAAUAAGUCAAAACUUUCAACAACGGAUCUCUUGGUUCUGGCAUCGAUGAAGAACGCAGC
rnacentral:misc_RNA from 1 species